GGAAGGAGAGCUUGGUGGGAGAGCACCUGCUUUGCAUGCAGGAGGUUCUGGGUCCGAUUCCCUCGUGGAGUUCUUCCC